rnacentral:rRNA from 1 species
UGGGGAAUAUUGCACAAUGGGGGAAACCCUGAUGCAGCGACGCCGCGUGAACGAAGAAGGUAUUCGUAUCGUAAAGUUCUGUCCUAUGGGAAGAUAAUGACAGUACCAUAGAAGAAAGCUCCGGCUAAAUACGUGCCAGCAGCCGCGGUAAUACGUAUGGAGCGAGCGUUGUCCGGAAUUAUUGGGCGUAAAGGGUACGCAGGCGGUUUAAUAAGUCGAAUGUUAAAGAUCGGGGCUCAACCCCGCAAAGCAUUGGAAACUGAUAAACUUGAGUAGUGGAGAGGAAAGUGGAAUUCCUAGUGUAGUGGUGAAAUACGUAGAUAUUAGGAGGAAUACCAGUAGCGAGGGCGACUUUCUGGACACAAACUGACGCUGAGGUACGAAAGCGUGGGGAGCAAACAGG